GAUGAACGCUGGCGGCGUGCCUAAUACAUGCCAGUCGAGCGAAGGGACGAUGGUGCUUGUACUCGAAAAAUUUCGCCGCGAACGGGAGAGAAACAUGUAAAACACCUGUAUCAUACUCUGAGAAAACCAUGGGAAACGAGAGCUAACAGCGGAUAACAGUAAUCCUCACAUGUGAGAAAUUAAAAAGUUGGUUAUGGUAACACAAAGAGAUGGCUUUGCGGUGCAUUAGCUAGUUGGUGGGGUAAAGGCCCACCAAGGCAACGAUGCAUAGCCGACCUGAGAGGGUGAUCGGCCACACUGGAACUGAGACACGGUCCAGACUCCUACGGGAGGCAGCAGUAGGGAAUCUUCCGCAAUGGGCGAAAGCCUGACGGAGCAACGCCGCGUGAGUGAUGAAGGUCUUCGGUUCGUAAAGCUCUGUUAUUAGGGAAGAACAGAUGUGUAGGAACCUUUCCACUACUUGACGGUACCUAAUCAGAAAGCCACGGCUAACUACGUG
rnacentral:rRNA from 1 species